UCAGGCCUAACACAUGCAAGUCGAACGGUAACAGGAAGAAGCUUCGCUUCUUUGCUGACGAGUGGCGGACGGGUGAGUAAUGUCUGGGAAACUGCCCGAUGGAGGGUGAUAACUACUGGAAACGGUAGCUAAUACCGCAUAACGUCGCAAGACCAAAGAGGGGGACCUUCGGGCCUCUUGCCAUCGGAUGUGCCCAGAUGGGAUUAGCUAGUAGGUGGGGUAACGGCUCACCUAAGCGACGAUCCCUAGCUGGUCUGAGAGGAUGACCAGCCACACUGGAACUGAGACACGGUCCAGACUCCUACGGGAGGCAGCAGUGGGGAAUAUUGCACGAUGGGCGCAAGCCUGAUGCAGCCAUGCCGCGUGUA
rnacentral:rRNA from 1 species